UCACAGAUGGUUCUCGAAUCGUCUUCCGACUGAGCGGCACUGGGAGUGCCGGGGCCACCAUUCGGCUGUACAUCGAUAGCUAUGAGAAGGACGUUGCCAAGAUUAACCAGGACCCCCAGGUCAUGUUGGCCCCCCUUAUUUCCAUUGCUCUGAAAGUGUCCCAGCUGCAGGAGAGGACGGGACGCACUGCACCCACUGUCAUCACCUAAGAAGACAGGCCUGAUGUGGUACGUCCCUCCACCCCCGGACCCAUCCAAGUCAUCUGAUUGAAGAGCAUGACAGAAACAAAAUGUAUUCACCAAGCAUUUUAGGAUUUGACUUUUUCACUAACCAGUUGACGAGCAGUGCAUUUACAAGGCACUGCCAAACAAGAUGCCCUUGGGAGCUGUGAGGGAAAGAGGACCUGCGGGCUUAGAUCAAUCUCAAUUCCUUUUCAUGCCCUCCUGCAUUGCUGCUGCGUGGGUAUUUGUCUCCUUAGCCAUCAGGUACAGUUUACACUACAAUGUAAGCUAUAGGUGGAGCAUCAGCAGUGAGUGAGGCCAUUCUUCAUCCUUAGGAUGUGGCAAUGAAAUGAUGGUGCAAGUUCCUUUCUCUUUUGUGAAUCUUUCCCCCCAUUUCCUGUUUACAUGUAACCCAACAAAAUGCAAUUUCUAGUGCCUUCUGUCCAAUCAGUUCUUUCCUCUGAGUGAGACGUACUUGGCUACAGAUUUCUGCCUUGUUUUGCGACAUUGUCCCAUUCACACAGAUAUUUUGGGAUAAUAAAGGAAAAUAAGCUAC
rnacentral:lncRNA from 1 species